UUCUCAUCAGCUUCCUCCAGAAGCUGCUGUGGCUUCUGCCCAAAAGCAGAAGCUGCCGAACCCCAGCUUUCAAAAGCCAGAAGCCCGAAAAUUACUGUAGCGGUGUUACUGUAGAUUAAUGAAAAUUUCAAAAUACCGGUAAUUACCCUUCCAAGCUGAAACAAUUUCAGCUGAACCAUUAACCCUACGCAUAUCUUCGGUGGUCACUGUUCCCCAUCUCUCUCCCUCGUCACACCCGCAACAUCACAGCUUCCCUGCUCCCCCAUCUCUCUCCCUCAUCACACCCGCACCGCCGCAUCCUCGCUGCUCCCUCACCGCCGCAUCCUCGAAGCUCCCCGUCACCUUCGCAUCGUCGCUGCUCCCCAUCACAGACGUAUCAGCACGCAAGCAUCUUUCUCCCUCACAUCGUCGCUGCUCCCCAUCACCGCUCUCCAUCUCCGUCCGUCAUCAUAGACCGUAGCCCCGACGUCGAUAUACCCAUCUGUGUGUCCCUCGUCACAUAUCGAUCUCCGACGCAAGCUCCCCGUCACCGGUCCUCGUCACCGCUCCCACAGAUCGAUCUCUCUCCGCAUCGAUCUACCCAUCUCUCUGUCCCUCAUCACAGCUGGUGGGUGAAAGUGAGAAGAUGAGGAUGAAGAAGCUGGAGGAGCUGAGCAAGAACAUUGAUUCAAUGCAGUGAAUAUAGCCCUUUGAUGAUAGCUCUGAUUAGGUGUGUGUGAUGUAUUUAAGAUGACUACUUUGUUAAUGUUUACAUAUAUGGGUGAUUGGCUUUGGUGUAUUCUAAGUUUGGCUGUUUCGUUAGGCAUUUGAAAAACUUUAGCUUGAUUUAGGCAGGAAAUACCCUUCUAAAUUUAAACAGGUUUGUAACUAAACGCAUUCUGAACUUCGCAUUUUCUUCUCAUUGUAAGGUCUCUUUUAGUGUAAUGUGGGUUUUCUUCAUUUAUUUUUGAAA